rnacentral:rRNA from 1 species
AAGUGGAAAAGGAUGUGGCGUUGCCCAGACAACUAGGAUGUUGGCUUAGAAGCAGCCAUCAUUUAAAGAGUGCGUAAUAGCUCACUAGUCGAGUGACACUGCGCCGAAAAUGUACCGGGGCUAAACAUAUUACCGAAGCUGUGGAUUGUCCUUUGGACAAUGGUAGGAGAGCGUUCUAAGGGCGUUGAAGCAUGAUCGUAAGGACAUGUGGAGCGCUUAGAAGUGAGAAUGCCGGUGUGAGUAGCGAAAGACGGGUGAGAAUCCCGUCCACCGAUUGACUAAGGUUUCCAGAGGAAGGCUCGUCCGCUCUGGGUUAGUCGGGUCCUAAGCUGAGGCCGACAGGCGUAGGCGAUGGAUAACAGGUUGAUAUUCCUGUACCACCUAUAAUCGUUUUAAUCGAUGGGGGGACGCAGUAGGAUAGGCGAAGCGUGCGAUUGGAUUGCACGUCUAAGCAGUAAGGCUGAGUAUUAGGCAAAUCCGGUACUCAUUAAGGCUGAGCUGUGAUGGGGAGAAGACAUUGUGUCUUCGAGUCGUUGAUUUCACACUGCCGAGAAAAGCCUCUAGAUAGAAAAUAGGUGCCCGUACCGCAAACCGACACAGGUAGUCAAGAUGAGAAUUCUAAGGUGAGCGAGCGAACUCUCGUUAAGGAACUCGGCAAAAUGACCCCGUAACUUCGGGAGAAGGGGUGCUCUUUAGGGUUAACGCCCAGAAGAGCCGCAGUGAAUAGGCCCAAGCGACUGUUUAUCAAAAACACAGGUCUCUGCUAAACCGUAAGGUGAUGUAUAGGGGCUGACGCCUGCCCGGUGCUGGAAGGUUAAGAGGAGUGGUUAGCUUCUGCGAAGCUACGAAUCGAAGCCCCAGUAAACGGCGGCCGUAACUAUAACGGUCCUAAGGUAGCGAAAUUCCUUGUCGGGUAAGUUCCGACCCGCACGAAAGGCGUAACGAUUUGGGCACUGUCUCAACGAGAGACUCGGUGAAAUCAUAGUACCUGUGAAGAUGCAGGUUACCCGCGACAGGACGGAAAGACCCCGUGGAGCUUUACUGUAGCCUGAUAUUGAAAUUCGGCACAGCUUGUACAGGAUAGGUAGGAGCCUUUGAAACGUGAGCGCUAGCUUACGUGGAGGCGCUGGUGGGAUACUACCCUAGCUGUGUUGGCUUUCUAACCCGCACCACUUAUCGUGGUGGGAGACAGUGUCAGGCGGGCAGUUUGACUGGGGCGGUCGCCUCCUAAAAGGUAACGGAGGCGCUCAAAGGUUCCCUCAGAAUGGUUGGAAAUCAUUCAUAGAGUGUAAAGGCAUAAGGGAGCUUGACUGCGAGACCUACAAGUCGAGCAGGGUCGAAAGACGGACUUAGUGAUCCGGUGGUUCCGCAUGGAAGGGCCAUCGCUCAACGGAUAAAAGCUACCCCGGGGAUAACAGGCUUAUCUCCCCCAAGAGUUCACAUCGACGGGGAGGUUUGGCACCUCGAUGUCGGCUCAUCGCAUCCUGGGGCUGUAGUCGGUCCCAAGGGUUGGGCUGUUCGCCCAUUAAAGCGGUACGCGAGCUGGGUUCAGAACGUCGUGAGACAGUUCGGUCCCUAUCCGUCGUGGGCGUAGGAAAUUUGAGAGGAGCUGUCCUUAGUACGAGAGGACCGGGAUGGACAUACCUCUGGUGUACCAGUUGUCGUGCCAACGGCAUAGCUGGGUAGCUAUGUGUGGACGGGAUAAGUGCUGAAAGCAUCUAAGCAUGAAGCCCCCCUCAAGAUGAGAUUUCCCAACUUCGGUUAUAAGAUCCCUCAAAGAUGAUGAGGUUAAUAGGUUCGAGGUGGAAGCAUGGUGACAUGUGGAGCUGACGAAUACUAA